CCCUUAGAUGUUCUGGGCCGCACGCGUGCUACACUGAGUGGAUCAGCGGGUCAGGUUGCGCGAAAGUGUUUCCUAAUCUUUAAAUCCGCUCGUGAUGGGGAUUGACGGUUGCAAUUUUCCGUCAUGAACGAGGAAUACCUUGUAAGCGCGGGUCAUCAUCCCGCGCUGAAUACGUCCCUGCCCUUUGUACACACCGCCCGUCGCUACUACCGAUUGAAUGGUUUAGUGAGGACUCCUGAUUGGCGCUGCCGCCCCGGCAACGGAGCAGCGGACUGCCGAAAAGUUGUUCAAACUUGAUCAUUUAGAGGAAGUAAAAGUCGUAACA
rnacentral:rRNA from 1 species